AUCAGAUAUGGCGACGCGGCUUCCUCGAGUUAUACCUUCCUCCGUUUUUUCUUCUCUCUCUCGUAUCGUUGUUAUUAGUAUAUGCAACGACCGGUGGUGCAACCCUUUGUCCAGACCGUGACAGGUGUGAGCACGUGACGUAACGGGGUACCGUUAUACCGAGCACACCAGGUGAAACCCCAUAAGCUAGCGGACACGGCGCGGAACCAUGGACGGUGCGAAAUUCUGUCCUCUGUUGUGAAAGUGACGAGGACGAAAGAAUGUGAAGAAACGGUGGAGAAAAUUCGCUGAAAGCGCUGAAUAGCGAAAUCGUAUUGGGAAUUGUUGAUGUGGCGCGGGUUUGCGGAUUUCAUCCCUAUAUGUGUUGGGACACGUUGGAGAGAAAUCAAUGAGGACUUAACGAGAUUUUAAAGAGGUAACGAUGAUGUUAUGCAAAAACGGAUUAACCCACAUAGUGAGUCGUGUAUCAUCAUCAAGAAACGUUGAGAAAAGUGGUACACCAUCGUUGCAAUCAAUAACAUACAUGUCAAGAAAGUUGCGUUGAUGGACGUCGAUAGAAUUGUAAGACUUACAUGUAAUUAUGCAAUAUAUUUUCAAUAAUGUAUAUCAACAGUUAUAAAUUAAUCAUGAA